rnacentral:rRNA from 1 species
GGUGAACGCUGGCGGCAGGCUUAACACAUGCAAGUCGAACGCAUCCUUCGGGGUGAGCGGCAGACGGGUGAGUAACGCGUGGGAACGUGCCCUUCAGUUCGGGAUAACCCAGGGAAACUUGGGCUAAUACCGGAUACGUGCGAGAGCAGAAAGAUUUAUCGCUGAAGGAUCGGCCCGCGUCUGAUUAGCUAGUUGGUGGGGUAAUGGCCCACCAAGGCGACGAUCAGUAGCUGGUCUGAGAGGAUGAUCAGCCACAUUGGGACUGAGACACGGCCCAAACUCCUACGGGAGGCAGCAGUGGGGAAUAUUGGACAAUGGGCGCAAGCCUGAUCCGGCCAUGCCGCGUGAGUGAUGAAGGCCUUAGGGUUGUAAAGCUCUUUCGUCCGGGACGAUAAUGACGGUACCGGAAGAAGAAGCCCCGGCUAACUUCGUGCCAGCCGCCGCCGUAAAAC